GUUGCUUUCUGCAUAGCUUUCAUUGCAGAAGCUCCAGUCCUCAAAGCAUCUACAGUCUCUGUUGUUGCUUUAGCACCUUCUAACAUAAUCAUC
rnacentral:sRNA from 1 species